rnacentral:misc_RNA from 2 species
CACCUUCUAUAAGGUCUUGGGAGAUGCAUACGCACUCCUCAAAAACAGUGGUGAUAACUGUCUACUCACGCAUAGUAAUCUCUCUGCGACGGAUACACAGUGACGCACCGAAAUCUUCUU